AAAAAAAACAGUUAUUCCUACAUAUUAUUCUUUCCCUCCUCUUUACUUAUAAUCUAAUUAAUCUAAUGUAUGUAUAAUCAAAUAUAUAUAUAUAUAUAUAUAUAUAUAAUCUGAUCUUUUAGCUUAAACUGCACAGAGUAAUUUCUCAAAUGAGUAUCUUGACUGUAAACCAAGUUUUGAUUAACAUUUAAAUCUACUGACAUUGUGGACUGGACUUGCUUACAGACAGUCUUGGGAACCUGCUCCACAGAAGUCAGUAAUGACUGUGAGACCUCAGCCCCAGCAGCAAAAGAGAUCUCGCAGUAUGUUCCUGCAUGACGUGAACAGUUAUUUCACCACCACAAGUGAUUUAAGAUAAGGUACAAUUUAAAAAUAUGAAGGAUAAAACCAGGAGUCUCGGCUUUACUGGUCACAACCAGUACACUUGGGCCAUUGCUCUGAAAUGAACCUAUUUGUUUUACAUGCAGAUCACAAUUUUAUGGAGUUUUACACUUAGACCAUUAAACCAAUGAACAAAAAUAAAUUGCUCUAGAAGAAGCUGGAGAGACUACUUCUGUUUCAAAGUGCAAGUUAAACACAGUUAAAUGUUUAAUGUGCUAUGCUAAAACAGCCUAUGAACAGACAGAUUUAUUAGCAGGGGCAUGAUUUUAUUGGACAUUUCCCUGCAGAAACACAAAAAUUAAUUUUAUAGCAUACAAGUUGGAUUGCUCAGAAACGAACCUGUAAGUUAUCACAACAAUUAAUUUAAUUAAUUGAAGCCAGGAUGUUUCUUCUCUUGAGUUAUUUUGUUUGGCAUUUAGCUUUUUUAAAGAGAGGAUUUCACAACAGCUAUAUCUUUACAAUUUAUGGGUAUUUCAUUAUUAAAUAACAAGGAAAAAAUGCACUGUACCAAACAUGUAGCAGAGUAGCACAACAUCUGAGAUAAUGCAAAACCUUACUUAAGAACACCCUUUUAUUAAAUAUUGUUUCUGCAGUGCAAGCUGUGAAAUUAAAUGUUAUACUUGUGUUAAUCUAAAUUCAGAGAAUUGCUGAAAGUCAGUGGGACACCAGCUCUGAAACUCCAUCAUCUCUGGGCACUGAUGAUUGAGUUACUUAGCUGUUUAGGAAAAUUUCAUCAUAUCAACACACUUCUCUGAAGCAGAAAUUACUCCCAGGUGCCUUGGCUGGUGAAAGCCCUGUAUCUCACCCAACUGAUAUGAGUGUUGACAUGGGACUUGGUCUGUGUGUGUGCUUUGUGCUGUCUCUUAUUGCUGUCAUCACAUUCAGUCCAAAUCUGAGAGCAUGAGGGUCUGGAUCAGUGCAAAAGCAUGAUAAUUAAAAACAAACAUUGUGGUUGCUACGCCAACAGUGCCUACUGAUGUGACGUCCUUGUCUUCCUGUCUUGGAUGCAGCAUCCUUUGGUGACUCACCUGAUUUCAACCAAUAACUCUGCAGAACCCAUCAAUUUGCUGCUACAUGUUGAAAUUCUUCCCUGAGUGCUCUCUUUCCACAUCAACACUGCCACAAGAGGUUUUCAAAGCUAGUAUUUUAUAAAUGAAAUAAAACGAGUAGGUAGAGGUAUUUAUAUAAUAAUAAAAAAAUCAAGGACUCAGGCAAAGAGCAAAUAUUUGACAUUCUUCCUUUCUUCCAAAUGUAAUACAUAAAGGAGAUCAGAACUGAAGCUGGAGUAUGAAAAUAGAACUGGCUCAGAGGGGACAGCGGUGUUGGGAGCUCAGUGAGUCCCAUGAGAUCUCUUGAAAGCAUUCUUGAGCUCAAGUCAGAGAUAAAUGGGCCAACAAACAACACACAUAGUACGUAUCAGGCAGUUCUGAGCCAGGAGCAUAACCAGCAUAACAGCAGGUUAUUAUUAUGUAUUACUUGGUCCUUGACUCAGCUUACUUGGAGUCACAUAUUUUUGUGCACUACUGUUCUCUAAUAAAAAGAAUUGUUCGUUUAAAACA